UCUCGAUCUGAAAUGUGUUGCUAGGUGAAGAUUCCAACUUCCUGGGCAUAGGGCCUUGUAGUGGAGUAGAGGUACCUGGCUUCGGACGAGACUUGGACCACCAUGAAAUAAUGUUUGGUCACUUCUGCAGGAGAAUCCUCAUCAGCAUCACUUGGGAGAUUAUGGUGGCCUCCAUGUCAGACCUCCUGAAUCAGAAUAUCAGAGAAGGGGACCCAGGUUACCAUGCUUCAUCUGCCAAUACAUUGAAAACUUGAGCUGUAAAUUAAUUCAACCAUUGUGGAAGAUGGUGUAGUGAUUCCUUAAAGAGCUAGAAGCAGAAGUACCUUUUGAUCCAGAAAUCCCAUUACUGUGUAUGCACCCAAAGGAAUAUAAACCAUUCUAU